rnacentral:rRNA from 1 species
GACGAACGCUGGCGGCGUACUUAACACAUGCAAGUCGAACGGAAAGGCCCUGCUUUUGUGGGGUGCUCGAGUGGCGAACGGGUGAGAAACACGUGAGUAACCUGCCCUUGACUUUGGGAUAACUUCAGGAAACUGGGGCUAAUACCGGAUAGGAGCUCCUGCUGCAUGGUGGGGGUUGGAAAGUUUCGGCGGUUGGGGAUGGACUCGCGGCUUAUCAGCUUGUUGGUGGGGUAGUGGCUUACCAAGGCUUUGACGGGUAGCCGGCCUGAGAGGGUGACCGGCCACAUUGGGACUGAGAUACGGCCCAGACUCCUACGGGAGGCAGCAGUGGGGAAUAUUGCACAAUGGGCGGAAGCCUGAUGCAGCAACGCCGCGUGCGGGAUGACGGCCUUCGGGUUGUAAACCGCUUUCGCCUGUGACGAAGCGUGAGUGACGGUAAUGGGUAAAGAAGCACCGGCUAACUACGUG